UUCAGCUUUACUACAUCCAAGCCAGGAUUCGAAGAGAGAGAGCACAGCCCCGUUACUUUUGCUGAAAGAAUACUUCCUGUGAUCCAUUGGGAAUUUGAUGUUGGGCUGUGCUCUCUCUUUUCCAGUCCCUACCUGGAUGUGCUGCCAUUGC
rnacentral:pre_miRNA from 1 species